AAAUAUAAAUCAAUUAUAUGUUUAAAAGAGUUUUAAUUUUAAACUUAUGCCUAUAGGUAAAACUAAUUAGAAAUUCCAGCUUAUUGAAAAUGAAGAGAGUUGUCCAUGUGGUUUAAAUAAUUCAACUGGAAGAAGAAAUCUUAGAUUUUUCAAAGAAAGAGAGAGAUAAAAUUCAAGAUUAAGAAUUCACAAUACGAAUGCCAGUAUAAAUUACACAUCUAAAAAAUCAAAGAAAAAAUUUUGAAUUUCAGAAGACGUCAUAUAUUUGACAGCUCUCAGUAUCUCUGUCAGUUUCUGCUUUGUUUUCUUAGUGAAACCAGGGCACACAGAUAACCUUUCUUAAGGCAGGUUAAUCUAUAAAUCUAGUGAGUAUUUGGGGUUUUCUGGAAGUUUGGUGACUCCAAAAGAAAAAUAGUUUCACCUGAAAAGAGUGUCUAUAUCCUUAACCUUCUUGGCAAAAGAAAGAUUACUAUGUGUCUACCUGCAUCAGUGGUAUUUUAAUGUUUUCAUUCUCUCUAUAAGUUUGGAGGCUAUGAAAAGUUAACUCUGUAUUAGCCUUAAACAUUCUGAGCUGGAUUUGAAUCACUUAAGAUUUAUUUUUUUUCUCCUUUUUUUUUUAACUACUUAGGAAGUCGAUAUGUCUUUUUCCCAAACACUUGAACACUCAGAG
rnacentral:lncRNA from 1 species